GACUUCGGUGCAUUAGCUAGUUUGGUGAGGUAACGGCCCACCAAGGCGACGAUGCAUAGCUCGGCCUGAGAGGAGCGGACGUGCCACAUUGGGAACUGAGACAUCGGCCCAAACUCCUACUGAGAGGCAGCAGUAGGGAAUUUUCGUCAAUGGGGGGAACCCUGAACGAGCAAUGCCGCGUGAGUGAGGAAGGUCUUCGGAUCGUAUAGCUAUGUUGUAAGAGAAAAACGACAUUCAUAGGGAAUGAUGAGUGAGUGAUGGUAUCUUACCAGAAAGUCACGGCUAACUACGUGCCAGCAGCCGCGGUAAUACGUAGGUGGCGAGCGUUAUCCGGAAUGAUUGGGCGUAAAGGGUGCGUAGGUGGCAGAACAAGUCUGGAGUAAAAGGUAUGGGCUCAACCCGUACUGGCUCUGGAAACUGUUCAGCUAGAGAACAGAAGAGGACGGCGGAACUCCAUGUGUAGCGGUAAAAUGCGUAGAUAUAUGGAAGAACACCGGUGGCGAAGGCGGCCGUCUGGUCUGUUGCUGACACUGAAGCACGAAAGCGUGGGGAGCAAAUAGGAUUAGAUACCCUAGUAGUCCACGCCGUAAACGAUGAGAACUAGGUGUUGGGGGAAUAACUCAGUGCCGCAGUUAACGCA
rnacentral:rRNA from 1 species